GUGGGGAAUAUUGGACAAUGGGGGGAACCCUGAUCCAGCCAUGCCGCGUGUGUGAAGAAGGCCUUUUGGUUGUAAAGCACUUUAAGCGAGGAGGAGGCUACCGAGAUUAAUACUCUUGGAUAGUGGACGUUACUCGCAGAAUAAGCACCGGCUAACUCUGUGCCAGCAGCCGCGGUAAUACAGAGGGUGCAAGCGUUAAUCGGAUUUACUGGGCGUAAAGCGCGCGUAGGUGGCCAAUUAAGUCAAAUGUGAAAUCCCCGAGCUUAACUUGGGAAUUGCAUUAGAUACUGGUUGGCUAGAGUAUGGGAGAGGAUGGUAGAAUUCCAGGUGUAGCGGUGAAAUGCGUAGAGAUCUGGAGGAAUACCGAUGGCGAAGGCAGCCAUCUGGCCUAAUACUGACACUGAGGUGCGAAAGCAUGGGGAGCAAACAGGAUUAGAUACCCGUGUAGUCC
rnacentral:rRNA from 1 species